CGGGCUCAUCCUGGAGGGAUGGAGAGCCCGGCUUCAAGCGGGGUGGGGAGCCCAGCAAGGGACAGGUUGGAGAGCACCAGGCCAAGGGAGGGGAACGGAGGAGAAACUGGCUGUAAACAAGGGGAGCGUGACCAGACUAGCCUGGCUCCAGCACCGUGCUGAAGGCAGAACAAAAAAUAAACUGCAGAAAAAGCCAAUUAUGUUUUCAGCUGGCUGGAGCAGGGCUCGGAUCUGCGUGCAGCACGGCCAGGGGAGGCUCGGGGAAGUGUCCUGGGAUCAAGGGGUUGGGACUGUGCGAACAGGGUGAACCUGCUGGCUGAGCAUCUGUCCUGGAGCCUGAGAGGGCCCUUUGGUUGAGGAGGGGAGAGAAGACGAUCCUGGGCUGAACUGUGGCUGGAGGAAAGUGGAGCACAUCUGUCCCCUGGGUCUCUUGAUCUUUGGAAGUCAGGGGCUGUUCUCAGUUAGAAAUGCAAUUUCAAAAUUCCUUCAUCUUUUGAUAUUCGGGUUUCAGGUUUUUGGGGUUCGCUCUAAACUUUUUUUUCUGUAAUACCAAGCUUUAUGUGUUUUCCACAGAGUGUCAGAAAAAUCAUAAGCACAAACUGCAGCUGGUGCUUCUGUAGCCAGGGAGGAUCGGUGGGAGCAAAUGAGCUGCUCCCCACACUGCUUGGCUUUUGGGGGCACUGGCUGUGCCUGUCCUCUGCCCUUUGGGGACAAAACUGGUGUAAUGAUUGCACUCGGAUUCCUUCAGGCUCCAAACCAGACAAGAGACACGCAACUUACAAUAUUUGGAGUUGUUCAAAAGGUCUCCUGCUCCCUCUGAGGGUGGUGGCAGAUAUCAGUGAGCACAGCUGCUUGGGCACUGCCUGCACCUCUGUGGGGGCAGAGGAGUAUCAGCAGGUGGGUUUCCCUGCUCAGCUCAGAGUGAAGAAAAAGGAGGAAUAA
rnacentral:lncRNA from 1 species